rnacentral:rRNA from 1 species
UACGGAGGGUGCAAGCGUUAAUCGGAAUUACUGGGCGUAAAGCGCGUGUAGGCGGGAGGCCAAGUCUGUGGUGAAAUCGCUCGGCUUAACUGGGCGGGGUCCAUGGAAACUGGUCACCUGGAGGUCGGUAGAGGCAAGUGGAAUUCCCGGUGUAGUGGUGAAAUGCGUAGAGAUCGGGAGGAACACCAGUGGCGAAGGCGGCUUGCUGGGCCGGACCUGACGCUGAGACGCGAGGGCGUGGGGAGCGAACAGG